rnacentral:rRNA from 1 species
UACGGAGGGAGCUAGCGUUAUUCGGAAUUACUGGGCGUAAAGCGCACGUAGGCGGCUUUGUAAGUUAGAGGUGAAAGCCUGGAGCUCAACUCCAGAACUGCCUUUAAGACUGCAUCGCUUGAAUAUAGGAGAGGAUAGUGGAAUUCCAGGUGUAGUGGUGAAAUACGUAGAUAUCUGGAGGAACACCGGUGGCGAAGGCGGCUAUCUGGCCUAAUAUUGACGCUGAGAUGCGAAAGUGCGGGGAUCAAACAGG